rnacentral:rRNA from 1 species
CCUACGGGAGGCAGCAGUAGGGAAUCUUCCACAAUGGGCGAAAGCCUGAUGGAGCAACGCCGCGUGAGUGAUGAAGGCCUUCGGGUUGUAAAACUCUGUCAUUCGGGACGAACCGGAGUCUGAGGAAAUGCAGACUCUCUGACGGUACCGGAGGAGGAAGCCCCGGCUAACUACGUGCCAGCAGCCGCGGUAAUACGUAGGGGGCAAGCGUUGUCCGGAUUCACUGGGCGUAAAGCGCGCGCAGGCGGUGAUGUAAGUCUGAGGUGAAAACCCGAAGCUCAACUUCGGGACUGCCUUGGAUACUGCGUCACUUGAGGAUAGGAGAGGCAAGGGGAAUUCCACGUGUAGCGGUGAAAUGCGUAGAGAUGUGGAGGAACACCUGUGGCGAAGGCGCCUUGCUGGCCUAUUUCUGACGCUGAGGCGCGAAAGCGUGGGGAGCAAACAGGAUUAGAUACCCUGGUAGUCCACGCUGUAAACGAUGAGUGCUAGGUGUAGGUGGGGCUCAUACCCAUCUGUGCCGAAGCUAACGCAUUAAGCACUCCGCCCUGGGGAGUCGGUCGCGAAGACUGAAACUUAAAUAGAAGUUGACGG